rnacentral:rRNA from 1 species
AACUACACAUAAGAGGUCCUGCCUGCCCUGUGACCCCUGGUUCAACGGCCGCGGUAUUUUGACCGUGCAAAGGUAGCGCAAUCACUUGUCUCUUAAAUGAGGACCUGUAUGAAUGGCACAACGAGGGCUUAACUGUCUCCUUUCCCUGGUCAGUGAAAUUGAUCUUCCCGUGCAGAAGCGGGAAUCCUAACAUAAGACGAGAAGACCCUAUGGAGCUUUAGACUUCAGAACAGAUCAUGUAAGCUACCCCCAUGAAAUGGGUAAUAACUAUUGAACUCCUGUUCCCCUGUCUUUGGUUGGGGCGACCACGGGGAAGAAAAAAACCCCCAUGUGGACCAGGAGCACACUACUCCUACAACCAUGAGCCACAGCUCUAAUGCACAAAAUCUUUGACCAUUAGAUCCGGCAAAGCCGAUCAACGGACCAAGUUACCCUAGGGAUAACAGCGCAAUCCCCUUUAAGAGUCCAUAUCGACAAGGGGGUUUACGACCUCGAUGUUGGAUCAAGACAUCCUAAUGGUGCAGCCGCUAUUAAGGGUUCGUUUGUUCAACGAUUAAAGUCUU